AAAAUCAUGAUUGAUUCUAAAUGUCAACUGCACAUAACUGUAUCUCAAAUCAGCGUAAUAAUAACUAUGAUCUUUCAUAUUGAACCUCAUAUGCUCCACAUAUAAAUUUGAAUAAACAUCUUCAUAGAUUUUAUAUGCGUACUGCACAUAACCGAGCUUGCAUACUGUUAGAUAAAAAAUAUUGUUUACGCAAAUAACCCUUGUGAGCAUCGCAUAUAAGUUUUAUAUGCGCAAUACUAUAGAUUUUUGCAGUAUGCUUUUACUCAUAAAAAAUAUAUGCAAUGCUCACAACAUUUAUGAGUGCAUGCUCGAUGUGCGCGUAUGCGAGUGUAUGCGAUGUGCAUAAACGUGCAUAAUUGAACAAGAUUGCCACGGUGGAAUAAAACGAGUUCGGUCUCGGGUUUUCUUUUGAAAAGUUUUCUUUUAAAAAGUAGUUUUUUGUGCAUAAUCGGUUGGUCUGAUUAAUUAAAUCUUCUAGCAAAGCUUCGACGAUAAUGUCCGGCGUCCGGGAACCUCGCUCGCGGUCCCGCGAACUCUGGGAACUGGGAAAACCCGCAGUAGGCACCGGAGUCCUCCGCCGUCGAAGAGGAGAGCGUCGGCUUGGUGGAUCCGGAAGUUGAGCCAGUAGCAACAGCCUCGAGGUUCAUUUUGUCCCAGAAUUUGUCUAUUGUGAAACUGUACUCAAACGGUGUUGAGGCCGAUUCCGCGCACCGAGAUUGCAGGCGAUUCCUGCUCGAAGGUGGUCCAGACCCAAGUCCAGACCAGACCAGAUUCAAAGCAUGUUUGGCCACAUCGGUAAGAAAUACGAGAUCCGGCUGUAUCUAACGAUCUGGAGCGUGUCCUGUUCGGUGGUGUCCCGGGUUUUCCACGUCAAUUAAUUUGAAAGCAGCAGAUGGAGAUGGCCGCCAAUGGGACGCUGGUUUCGGGACUGCAGAACAGCGACGGGCCGUGCAGAUUGCUUCUGGAGGUUGUGAACCGCAUCGGAUUGGUUCCCAACCAGAUCGUGAGAACCAUCGAUCGAAAACUUCAUCUUCCAGUGCUGCUGUCGAUCUUGACACAAAUAACAUCGAGCUGGACGUCAAGUCGGACAUGUGCUUCGAGAAUUUGAUGAACCACAUCAAGCAGCCGGUAAGGUCAAGGACGUUCGGUGAAACAAAGAGCAACGAAGCAGCCGCUCAAGAAGUCUCUCCUCCCGGAAACGGUCCCUCUCAAAGCGAUCUCCCAUAAACGGACGGAGCCGCUCUCGUUUCAGGAACCACCGCAAGUGCUCCAAGUCGGCAAUCGUAGCUUAAUAAAAGUUAAAAAAUGAAUCAAAAACUUUUUUUAUGAUUAAGAAAGAAAAUAUUAGUAUUAGAAGUAAUACAUAAUGAUAAAAUGCAUGACUAUCAAAAAUCAAUUGAAAAUUCAUUAUAAAUUGUGGGUGCUGCACUUACAUGUUAUAUGUGGGUGCAAAUAGCCGCAUAAUUCAAUCUGUGAGCAUUGCAUAUAACAUUCAUAUGCCGUGAGCAUAUUUUUCAUGUGCGUUGGCAUAUUUCUAUUCCUUAUCCAUUUAUAUGCAGUGCUCACACAGUUCAUGUGCAGCGCAUAUACCGGUCAAAUGUAGAGGCAUUCUGCAAAAAUCUAUAUGCGAAACUAAUAGCAUACAUCAUGAUAUUUAUUU